AGUGAACGCUGGCGGUAGGCCUGACACAUGCAAGUCGAACGGCAGCACAGUAAGAGCUUGCUCUUACGGGUGGCGAGUGGCGGACGGGUGAGGAAUACAUCGGAAUCUACUUUUUCGUGGGGGAUAACGUAGGGAAACUUACGCUAAUACCGCAUACGACCUACGGGUGAAAGCAGGGGAUCUUCGGACCUUGCGCGAUUGAAUGAGCCGAUGUCGGAUUAGCUAGUUGGCGGGGUAAAGGCCCACCAAGGCGACGAUCCGUAGCUGGUCUGAGAGGAUGAUCAGCCACACUGGAACUGAGACACGGUCCAGACCCCUACGGGAGGCAGCAGUGGGGAAUAUUGGACAAUGGGCGCAAGCCUGAUCCAGCCAUACCGCGUGGGUGAAGAAGGCCUUCGGGUUGUAAAGCCCUUUUGUUGGGAAAGAAAAGCAGCAGGUUAAUACCCCGCUGUUCUGACGGUACCCAAAGAAUAAGCACCGGCUAACUUCGUG
rnacentral:rRNA from 1 species